rnacentral:tRNA from 1 species
CGGGGUGUAGCGCAGUUGGUUAGCGUUCCUGGUUUGGGACCAGGCGGUCGCCGGUUCGAGUCCGGCCACCCCGA